rnacentral:rRNA from 1 species
UACACUCCUGCGGGAGGCAGCAGUGGGGAAUUUUGGACAAUGGGCGAAAGCCUGAUCCAGCAAUGCCGCGUGAGUGAAGAAGGCCUUCGGGUUGUAAAGCUCUUUUGUCAGGGAAGAAACGGUGAAAGCUAAUAUCUUUUGCUAAUGACGGUACCUGAAGAAUAAGCACCGGCUAACUACGUGCCAGCAGCCGCGGUAAUACGUAGGGUGCAAGCGUUAAUCGGAAUUACUGGGCGUAAAGCGUGCGCAGGCGGUUUUGUAAGUCUGAUGUGAAAUCCCCGGGCUCAACCUGGGAAUUGCAUUGGAGACUGCAAGGCUAGAAUCUGGCAGAGUGGGGUAGAAUUCCACGUGUAGCAGUGAAAUGCGUAGAUAUGUGGAGGAACACCGAUGGCGAAGGCAGCCCCCUGGGUCAAGAUUGACGCUCAUGCACGAAAGCGUGGGGAGCAAACAGGAUUAGAAACCCUGGUAGUCCC